UCAGAAACUGAAGGAGUUUCUGGAGGGCAGGAACCUCAUCACCAAAUUACAGGCUAAACAUGAUCUGAUCCAAAAGACUCUGGGAGAAAGUCAGAAAACCGACUACUGCCUUGCCAGCGGACGGAGGAACUCCACUGUUUGGAAACAGG